CACCCGUAUAGGUCUAUAGGUGUAUAUAUGUCCCGUAUAGGCAUAUACAAGACCUACAUGGAACCUAUACGAGACUUAUACUAUACACUAUACGAUAUGAUACGAUAAUGUAUACUAUACGAUACGAUACGAUACCAUAUGAUACAAUACGAUACGACACUAUAGUAUAGGUCACGUAUAGGCCAAUAGGCAGAUACAAGACAUAUAUGAGACUUAUACGAGACCUAUACGCAGCGUAUAUAAAGUGUCAAAAAGACAAUUUUACCCUUGCAUAUGGCUGCAUAUAGCCCCAAAUGCAGGGGUAAAAUGGUCUUUCCCACUAUAAGCUGCGUAUAGACCCAUACGCAGCGUAUAUAAAGGGUCAAAAGACAUUUUUACCCUUGCAUUUGGCUUCGUAUAGCCCCAAAUGAAGGGCUAAAUGGUCUUUUUGACCCUUUAUAUACGUUGCGUAUAGACCUAUACGCAGCAGCGUAUAUGAAGAUUUUUUUAUAAAGGUUAUAUCGAAUCGUAUAGGUGUAGUAUAGGUCACGAAUUGGCCUCGUAUAAGCCUAUAAGUGUGAUAUCAUAUCAUAUAGCGUAGUAUAUGUCACGUAUUGACCUCGUAUAAGCCUAUAAGUGUGAUAUCGUAUCGUAUAGCGUAUUAUAUGUCCCGUAUAGGCCUAUAGGCAUAUACAUCACCUAUACGAGACUUAUACUAUACGCUAUACGAUACGAUGCAACACGAUACGCUACUAUACGAUACGAUAUAACACUCGUAUAGGUCUAUAGGCCUAUACGGGAUCUAAACCACACUUAUAGGCUAUACGGGACAUAUACUACGCUAUACAAUACGAUAUCACACUUAUAGGCUUAUACGAAGUCAAUAUGUGACCUAUACUACACCUAUACGAUACGAUAUCACACUUAUAGGCUUAUACGAGGUCAAUACGAGACCUAUACCACACCUAUACAAUACGAUAUCACACUUAUUGCUUAUACGAGGUCAAUACGUGACCUAUACUACACCUAUACG
rnacentral:lncRNA from 1 species